CGCGAGGAUGGAGUAAAGUUGGCUCGGUGGUCUCAUAAGCCGCAAAUCAUCAGGUUAGAUUCCUGACCUCGCAACCA
rnacentral:tRNA from 1 species